rnacentral:tRNA from 1 species
CACAAUAUAAGUUAUAUAAACUAAAGGUUUGUGGGACCUUAAAAAAAUUAAAUUUUAUAGUGC